GCAUUCAGUUGCCACGGUAAGGCCGGGCACUCUGGAUGGACUGCCGGCGACAAGCCGGAGGAAGGUGGGGAUGACGUCAAGUCAUCAUGGCCCUUAUGUCCAGGGCGACACACGUGCUACAAUGGCCGGCACAGCGGGAAGCGAGGGGGCGACCUUGAGCGGAUCCCUCAAAGCCGGUCUCAGUUCGGAUUGCAGUCUGCAACUCGACUGCAUGAAGUUGGAAUCGCUAGUAAUCGUGGAUCAGCCAAGCCGCGGUGAAUACGUUCCCGGGCCUU
rnacentral:rRNA from 1 species